GGGUGGUCGACCAGAGUAGUGAAAGAGAGGGAGAAGCUCCCCCAUAACCUAAUCCAUCCAUUUCUGCAAAUUGAAAGGCAAAAUCGGGUUGAAAUAUCGUGCAUGAUUCGAAAUAUUGAUCACCUAGUCCAGGAGACCACAAGGAAACUCGUGUGAAGCUUCGGGAAGUCAAGCCGGUGUGAACGUACGAUUGAAGGAAAAGCUUUAAGGUGGUUGUUAUGAAGUCACGGAUGAUGAUCAAGCAUAGUGAAGAACCGAACACAAUCUAAGAUCAAGCUUCCGCGUUUUGUUUAGUCGUUUAUGAAACCAAACAUCGUUAACAUGUAGUAAUGAUUUUGAAUACUUAUGAAAUUUUAUUAAACUUACAAAUGAGUAUAGUUUAUGUAUUUGCAUUAUGAACAGAUA
rnacentral:lncRNA from 1 species